rnacentral:rRNA from 1 species
UACGUAGGGCGCAAGCGUUGUCCGGAAUUAUUGGGCGUAAAGAGCUCGUAGGCGGUCUGUCGCGUCGGCUGUGAAAACCCGAGGCUCAACCUCGGGCCUGCAGUCGAUACGGGCAGACUAGAGUGCUGUAGGGGAGACUGGAAUUCCUGGUGUAGCGGUGAAAUGCGUAGAUAUCGGGGGGAACAUCAGUGGCGAAAGCGGCACCCUGGCAUUUGCCUGACGCUCAUGUGCGAAAGCGUGGGGAGCGAACGGG